rnacentral:tRNA from 1 species
GAGGUUGUAGCUUAGUGGUAGAGUGCUUACCUUGCAUGUGUGAGGCACUGGGUUUGAUCCUCAGCACCACA